rnacentral:rRNA from 1 species
AUUGAACGCUGGCGGAAUGCUUUACACAUGCAAAUCGAACGGCAGCACGGGAGCUUGCUCCUGGUGGCGAGUGGCGAACGGGUGAGUAAUAUAUCGGAACGUAUCCAAUAAUGGAGGAUAACAUAUCGAAAGAUGUGCUAAUACCGCAUACGCCCUGAGCGGGAAAGCGGAGGACCGUAAGGCUUCGCGUUAAUGGAGCGGCCGAUAUCGGAUUAGCUAGUUGGUGAGGUAAAGUCUCACCAAGGCGACGAUCCGUAGCUGGUCUGAGAGGACGAACAGACACACUGGAACUGAGACACGGUCCCUACUCCUACGGGAGGCAGCAGUGGGGAAUUUUGGAGAAUGGACGAAAGGCUGAUCCAGCCGUUCCGCGGGAGUGAAGAAGGCGUUCGGGUUGUAAAGCUCUUUCGCAAGGGAAGAAAACUUACCCUCUAACAGAGGGUGAGGCUGACGGUACCUUGAUAAGAAGCACCGGCUAACUACGUGCCAGCAGCCGCCGUAAGAC